rnacentral:piRNA from 1 species
CUGGUCAGCAUUGUACCCCAAGUUGGGAAA